ACGUAGGGUGCGAGCGUUAAUCGGAAUUACUGGGCGUAAAGCGUGCGCAGGCGGUUCGCUAAGACAGAUGUGAAAUCCCCGGGCUCAACCUGGGAACUGCAUUUGUGACCGCACGACUGGAGUGCGGCAGAGGGGGGUGGAAUUCCACGUGUAGCAGUGAAAUGCGUAGAGAUGUGGAGGAACACCGAUGGCGAAGGCAGCCCCCUGGGAUGACACUGACGCUCAUGUACGAAAGCGUGGGUAGCAAACAG
rnacentral:rRNA from 1 species